rnacentral:tRNA from 1 species
UCCCUGGGUGUUCAGUGGUUAAGAUUCUGUGUUCCCAACACAGGGGGCCUGGGUUCAAUCCCUGGUCAGGGAA